UUAAGCUAAUAAGAGCACAAGGUGGAUGCCUUGGCAUCAGGCGCCGAAGAAGGACGUGACAAGCUGCGAAAAGCUGCGGGGAGCUGCAAAUAAGCCUAGAUCCGCAGAUGUCCGAAUGUGGGAACACACUCCGAGAGGAGUACGCGAAAGCGAGGGAACCCAGGGAACUGAAACAUCUUAGUACCUGGAGGAAGAGAAAGUAAAACAACGAUUACCUAAGUAGUGGCGAGCGAACGGGUAAGAGCCCAAACCGACUAUAGAAAUAUAAUCGGGGUAGAGGACAGCGAUAACCCAGUCAAGAAGUAGUUGAACGGUAUUGGAAAAGCCGACGAAACGAGGUGAAAGUCCUGUAGACGAAACGGGAAUGACGGGGAGCUGAAUCCGGAGUACCAUCGAGCACGAGAAAUUCGGUGGGAAGCAGGGAGGCCCAUCUCCCAAGGCUAAAUACGACCUGAUGACCGAUAGAGUAUAGUACCGUGAGGGAAAGGUGAAAAGAACCCCGGAAGGGGAGUGAAAGAGAACCUGAAACCGUGUGCUUACAAGCAGAGGGAGCGCAAGUGACCUCGUACUUUUUGUAGAACGGGCCGGCGAGUUACGUUGCGUUGCGAGGUUAAGGUACUAAGUACCGGAGCCGAAGCGAAAGCGAGUCUUAAUAGGGCGAGAAGUAGUGUGACGUAGACCCGAAACCUAAUGACCUACCCAUGAGCAGGAUGAAGCAGAAGUAAAAUUCUGUGGAGGUCCGAACGCACGCCUGUUGAAAUAGGCGGCGAUGACUUGUGGUUAGCGGAGAAAUUCCAAACGAAUUAGGAUAUAGCUGGUUCUCCUCGAAAUAGCUUUAGGGCUAGCCUCAACGUAGAGAGUAUCGGGGGUAGAGCACUGAAUGGGCUAGGGGCCUUCACGGGUUACCGAACCUUAUCAAACUGCGAAUACCGAAUACUUAUAGUUGGGAGUCAGACGGCGUGAGAUAAGUUUCGUCGUCAAAAGGGAAACAGCCCAGAUCCACAGCUAAGGUCCCAAAGUUCAGGUUAAGUGGUAAACGAUGUGUCAUUGCAUAAACAACCAGGAUGUUGGCUUAGAAGCAGCCACCCAUUCAAAGAGUGCGUAAUAGCUCACUGGUCGAGUGAUGAUGCGCCGAAGAUUACCGGGGCUAAAACCUGACACCGAAGCUUGGGGAUAGACGAGAGUCUAUCGGUAGAGGAGCAAUCUGUAAGAGCAGAAGCGAAAUCGUAAGGUUUCGUGGAUUUUACAGAAGAGAGAAUGCCGGCAUGAGUAGCGAGAGGAAAGUGAGAAACUUUUCCGUCGAAAGCCUAAGGUUUCCUGGGGAAGGUUCGUCCACCCAGGGUAAGUCGGGACCUAAGUGGAGGCCGAAAGGCGUACAUGAUGGACAACAGGUAGAUAUUCCUGUACCACGACACGGAUAAGAGCAGGGACACAGAAGGAUAGUUGGACCAUGGGGAUGGAAACCAUGGACAAAUCAAGAGGCUAAGCAGUAGGAAGAAAACGCUGCUUAAAAGGCUGGUUGAUGAUGUGGAGUGAAAAAUAGUAGCGAAGCCAAUGAAUUCACGCUGGCGAGAAAAACUGCGUACUUAGAAGAAGUGAAGUGCCCGUACCGCAAACCGACACAGGUAGGCGGCAAGAGAAUUGCAAGACGAACGGGAUAACCAUUGUUAAGGAACUCGGCAAAAUGACCCCGUAACUUAGGGAUAAGGGGGGCCUACGCAAGUAGGCUGCAAAAAAUAGGCCCAAGCGACUGUUUAUCUAAAACACAGGUCUCUGCGAAAGCGCAAGCUGAAGUAUAGGGGCUGACGCCUGCCCGGUGCUGGAAGGUCAAGGGGAAAUGUUAGGAGCAAGUCCGAAGCAUAGAACUUAAGCCCCAGUGAACGGCGGCCGUAACUAUAACGGUCCUAAGGUAGCGAAAUUCCUUGUCAGGUAAGUUCUGACCCGCAUGAAUGGCGUAACGAUUUGGGCGCUGUCUCAACAAUGGACCCGGCGAAAUUGUAGUAUAUGUGAAGAUGCAUAUUACCCGCGACUGGACGGAAAGACCCCGUAGAGCUUUACUGUAGCUUGACAUUGAAUUUCGGUAAAGACUGUACAGGAUAGGUGGGAGACAGUGAACCAUGGGCGUCAGCUUGUGGGGAGUCGACGUUGGGAUACCACCCUAUCUUUGCUGAGGUUCUAACUCAAAGCGUUGAAUCACGAUUGAGGACAAUGUCAGGUGGGCAGUUUGACUGGGGCGGUCGCCUCCUAAAGAGUAACGGAGGCGUCCAAAGGUUCCCUCAGAAUGGUUGGAAACCAUUCGUAGAGCAUAAAGGUAUAAGGGAGCUUGACUGCGAGACAUACAAGUCGAGCAGAUACGAAAGUAGGGCUUAGUGAUCCGGCGGUA
rnacentral:rRNA from 1 species